rnacentral:rRNA from 1 species
ACGGAGGGUGCAAGCGUUGUCCGGAUUUAUUGGGCGUAAAGGGCGCGUAGGCGGCUUUUUAAGUCAGCUGUGAAAUGCUUCGGCUUAACGGUAGAAUUGCCUUUGAUACUGAAGACCUGGAGUACAGUAGAGGAAAGCGGAAUUCCUAGUGUAGCGGUGAAAUGCGUAGAUAUUAGGAAGAACACCGAUGGCGAAGGCAGCUUACUGAACUGUAACUGACGCUGAUGCGCGAAAGCGUGGGGAGCAAACAG